GCAGAUAUAAGCUAAAGAUCGCGUGGCAACCAAACAAGCUCAAGAUCGCGUCUUUGCUUCACCGCCGGAGGUUGCUUGUCGGUGACAAUCUCACCGGAAAGACUGCAGAAGAACCGGAGAUGAAAUGCAGUAAAUCCUGCAAGAACCCUUUUUUAUGAGGAUAUUGAUGUAUAGCAUCUUCCCCAAGAUGCACUUCUUCUUCUAUUAGCCCUAAUAUUUGUUUGUGUACAAUCUUCCCCUUGCACACAGACUUAUUUACUCCAUGUUAUCUGAGGAUUUACCGCGUUCCAUUUCC
rnacentral:lncRNA from 1 species